UACACUCCUGCGGGAGGCAGCAGUGGGGAAUAUUGGACAAUGGGCGAAAGCCUGAUCCAGCAAUGCCGCGUGAGUGAUGAAGGCCUUAGGGUUGUAAAGCUCUUUUACCCGGGAUGAUAAUGACAGUACCGGGAGAAUAAGCCCCGGCUAACUCCGUGCCAGCAGCCGCGGUAAUACGGAGGGGGCUAGCGUUGUUCGGAAUUACUGGGCGUAAAGCGCGCGUAGGCGGCUUUGUAAGUUAGAGGUGAAAGCCCGGAGCUCAACUUCGGAAUUGCCUUUAAGACUGCAUCGCUAGAAUCGUGGAGAGGUGAGUGGAAUUCCGAGUGUAGAGGUGAAAUUCGUAGAUAUUCGGAAGAACACCAGUGGCGAAGGCGACUCACUGGACACGUAUUGACGCUGAGGUGCGAAAGCGUGGGGAGCAAACAGGAUUAGAUACCCGAGUAGUCCCAUGA
rnacentral:rRNA from 1 species